GUGCCAGCAGCCGCGGUAAUACGGAGGGUGCGAGCGUUAAUCGGAAUUACUGGGCGUAAAGGGCACGCAGGCGGUUAAUUAAGUUGGAUGUGAAAUCCCCGGGCUUAACCUGGGAAUGGCAUUCAAGACUGGUUAGCUAGAGUCUUGUAGAGGGGGGUAGAAUUCCAUGUGUAGCGGUGAAAUGCGUAGAGAUGUGGAGGAAUACCGGUGGCGAAGGCGGCCCCCUGGACAAAGACUGACGCUCAUGUGCGAAAGCGUGGGGAGCAAACAGGAUUAGAUACCCUGGUAGUCCACGCUGUAAACGAUGUCGAUUUGGAGGUUGUGGUCAAGAACUGUGGCCUCCGGAGCUAACGCGUUAAAUCGACCGCCUGGGGAGUACGGCCGCAAGGUUAAAACUCAAAGGAAUUGACGG
rnacentral:rRNA from 1 species